CUCGGUUAGAUCCCAAAUCACAAUCACCUCCCCCCACCCCACUUCGCCGAAACAAAAGCAAACCCCACGACGCCUCGCCACUCCGCCGUCGCCGCUUCCAGCAUGCGGCCGUCGGGAUCCUCCCCGUCGUCGUCGUCCUCCCACUCGCCGGACCACCCCAAGACCAAGCCCCCGCCCCCUCCCGCCCCAGCCAUGGGCUACCCCGCCGCCUACUUCGCCGCCGCACCGACUCCCCCCACCAACGGCAACGCCGCGGCCUUCGGCAUCGCGUACCCCUACCCAGCUCCCCCUCACCACCCGCCGCCUCCGCACCACCACCACUACCCGUACCCCCCGCCGCCCACCUGCCUCCGCCGCCUCCUCGCGCUCGUCGUCGGCGCCUUCCUCCUCCUCGGCGCCGCCACCUUCAUCGUCUGGCUCCUCCUCCGCCCGCGCACGCCGGCCUUCUCCCUCACCUCCCUCACCCUCUCCCGCGUCGCCUACUCCCCCGCUAACUCCACCUUCUCUGCCUCCUUCGACGCCGCGCUCCUCGCCGCCAACCCCAACUCCAAGCUCUCCGUCACCUACUUCACCCCGCUCGCGUCCGCCUCCCUCGCCCCCUCCUCCCCUAUCGCAGUCGCGACCCUGCCCCCCUUUUCGCAGGGCCCCCGCAACACCACGACGCUCGCCUUCCGCCUCGUCGCUGAUGAUGCCUACGUGGGGCCUGAUGAUGCGGCCGCGCUCAAGAGCGGGGGCGGGGGGACUGUGGAGGUCGAGGUCAGGCUCAUGGCCGUGGCAGUGUUCGACCGAGGGGGCUGGCGCACACGACGCAGGGUGAUGAGGGUGUUUUGCGAUGGGGUGCCGGUGGUUUUCCGCGGGGAGAACGCCACUGAAGCAGCGUUCAAUGGGCCGGCAAGGUGGUGUGAUGUCGUGUUGUGAAGGAUCCUCAUACCCUGUUUGUUGACUACGGAUGCUGAUCGGAGGGAACUUAUUCCAUAGUAGGUAACCACCUCUAAAAGCAGUGGCGGAGCUUCAUGGAGGUCACCGCUGCUCUCUGGCGCACCCUAUCCUCACAUGCUUUGCUGGUAGCUCCAGGCUCCCCUUUGCUGUGGAUGGUCAUGCUUACAAGUGACAGGAUAGGGGACACGCGGCCGAGGUGGGUAACCAAACUCCGAUGGAUGGAUGGAUGGCCCGGAGAGGUCGAAUUGUGGCAUGGAUGUUCAUGGUUGGUAGGAGGUCUAUUUUGAAGGGGACUGAAGAAGAUGUGGGCACCUUGAUGGGGUCUUCAACAUUAGUUUACAAGAUUUUGGUGUGUCGGAUUGCGACUUUUGUGAAGGAACGAUGAUGAUUGUGAGAGGUUUUCGCUGUCGAAAUGGGUACAGGAAGGAGAUGAGAUGCUAUAGUAGGAUUUGGUGGGGAAUGGCCUGGGGUUGUCCUGCAGGAGAUGAUCUUAUCUCCUGGAUGGGGCCAUAAGGUAGCCAUUGUCUGCACUGGUCCUUUUCGACCUAGAUUUUAAAAAAUGCCCGGAGCCAUGGAUUUGAUUUGGGGUGUUGGUGGUGCUACCACCAGAGUCUGCUGCCUAUGUUUUUGCCUGGCAGUGAGCGGACGUCAAAACCAGUCCGGUUCGUUCUACUUGUACCAUGGGGACAUGCCAGUGCAACCAUCGGUAAGAUUCGGUGAAAUGGGUCAAUGGCGCGUUGUGCUACUCAAAACCAGCUGCUGCUUGAAUCGGUGCAAUUAUCCAAUCAUUCUCUCCGAUCGUUGGGGUUGAAGAGCGACGGCCACAGGGAAGGAAGGAGAGGUCGCGUACAUCUUUCUCUGCACUGGUGCACACAAAAUGUACGUACAAUUUUUCGUCGUGGUCCCAUGACCAGUGGUCGUGUCGACUGUGCCGGCGGCACCGUGGCGUUGUAUUGGGUUGAGACGACGUACACGUACACCGUGCCCAUCUGGCCACGCACGUCAGCGGGCCCAAGUGGACGCAACGCAACGUUCGAGGACGAGCCGCGUCACCUCGUCUCUUCUGCUCUUCAUGCGUACCAAAUGGGCAGAUGCACAUUUCGUCACGUCCAUUAUUUUACUUUC